CGGAGCGUUGUCAUAAAUUACGUCUCUCUGGUACACCAGAGGUGUCAAAUUAUCAAUUGUCAAAGAAGUUUUGACAAUUUUUCUUUGACAAAUUUGUUUUGACCACAAACAAGGUUUUGUCACAGUAUGUUUUGUAGUGAAAACGUGGUGAAAACAGCCCAAAUAAAAUAGUCACAAAUCAGUCCGUGGAAAACAGUAGAAUUUGUUGUUUUGUGGUUUACAGCAAUCAGAUAUUUUCCAAUCACAUCAUUGUUAUAUUGUACAUUUGGAAUUAGUAAUUAAAUUGUAUCCAAAAAAUGAGCACAGAUUUCAAAUUUCAUUUUAUUUGUGACUACCAAACAAAGAAAAUCAUCCGUGAUUGUAAUUUGAAGCCAACUGAAGUCGAAAAAGAAGUUCAGCCCUGGCUAUAUGCUUACAACGUUAAUACUGGAUUUGAUGAUGAUGAUGAUGACGAUGAGGGUGAUUAUACUACUACUACUAAAGUUGGAAAAUGGAUGUUAUUUGUGUCACCAGAAUAUGUAAACUCAGUCUGGCAAAAAAUUAAAAACGCUAUAGAAGAUGGGCACCUAUGGAAUUCCAAAGUUUCAACAAUAGAACCAAGUAACAAAUCACAUGCAAUAAUGAUUUAUACCAGAGAUUAUACUGACUUGCCAGAUGUUAUUAAAGUUCUGGAUUAUCUUGAAACAUCAGGAAUUAAGUCAGCCAAUUCAGUUAUCAAAUAUAAGACUGACCGACAAACUUACGCUGGAGUAUAUGCUGGAGGUAAACAAAGGCCAUGGAUUUAUUCCUCUGACACAGUUCGCCAGCAAAAUCAAUAAUUUUCUGUUGUCAAAAUGAGUAUAUAAUUUUGAUUAUGUCUUGCAACGUGUUGAAUGUUUUGCCCAGUGUUAGUUUUAAUAAUUAUGUUUUUGUCAAACAUGUAGCAUUUAAAGAAAGCCCAGCGUGCCUUUAAUAUAAAAUAAUUGUUUAAUAAAUAACUUAAAAAUUA